AGGCAUGAGCGUGUUCGGGGACUUCCAGCGUGUCUGGGUGCAGCGGUUCCCGGACAGCGCCUUGCCGGCCGCCUGGGAGGAGGAUGUCAGGGCGAACCUGGUCAAGCACAAGCAGAAGGUGACAGCUUUGAGAGAAGAGCUCGAGAAGGAAGAGUUUUAUGUAGAGUAUUUGGAGAGAUUGCUGGCCGACGUCGAGCGACACAAGCAGCUGGCUAACAAUACCAGCGCGAAUACGAAUACGUCUGAGAAUAAACAGGAGGCGACGACGGAAACGCAAUUCCUACAGGAUUCUCAAGUAUCGGAGAACAGCUUGGCGGACUCCGCGAACUCGCCGAGUUCUCAGAACGUCGAACCGUCCGCUCCUACUUUGUCGGAACGGGAAGACAUCAGCAAGUUUCAAGACAAGUGCGUGUCCGAAUUGAGUUCGACUCUCGGCACAGCUGGCAAGCGACCCAGGAGCGAAAUACCAAGGAGUCCCGAGAAAGUGCCUGAAUUUAGAAGAAACAGUGAUCCAGAUGUGCCAAGUAAUUAUGUUACAGUGAUUGAAGUCACCGGGAGCUCGAAGAAAGACAAAAAUGAGGAAUCUCUCAAGGAGGAGGAUGAAAAAGAUUUAGAAAAGGCUAUCAACGAAGAUGGCGAAGACGGCGAUGCAGAGGCAUCGGAGGAGGAGCCUUACUACGAUUCAGUAGCCUUGGACCAAACUGGCGAAUACGUUUACAUUGACGCGCGCGUUCCCACUGCCAACAGUAACAAUGGCAGCAAGGCGGCAACGCGAAGACCACCCUCGCUGCCAGAUUCGCCGGGCAAUCAGAGUAAUUAUGUCAACAUCGAUUAUUUUAUACAACACAGAGCGGCGAUGGACAGCGAGGACGAGGAGGGCGCCAGUCCGGCGCCCCCGAUCUUGUUGCGUGCUCUCAGCACGGACAACGAAACCGGCAGCAGUGACGCCGAACCGUUGAGUUUGAGCGAGGGUAGCUUGGAAUCGCCGACCCCGACGACGCCGCGCAGACAGGAGAAAAGCAAGGAGCGCGAGGACGACAGGACGUCGAUGGUCAAGUGUAUCGUGAACUCGGUAGUGGAGAGCGAGGCUGUAUACGUGGAAUGCUUAACUGUGAUGUUACAAUAUAUGAAAGCUAUUAGGGCAACAUUAACGACAUCUCAACCGGUCAUCUCGGAAGAGGAGUUUGGCACGAUGUUCUACAAGAUCCCGGAACUGCAUGCUCUGCAUCAGACGUUUCUGGACGGUCUUCGAAAGAAGGCGGAAAAAUGGGACAGUAAGACUACUAUAGGAGAACAAUUUAAGAUUAUGGCCAGUAAUAUAGGAUUAUAUGGUGCUUUCUUGCACAAUUACGCUCGCGCGACCGACACUGUGCGACGAUGUUCCGCCCAUUCCACUCAAUUCGGAGAGAUCACUAGAGAUAUAAGACUCAGGGGUUUCCCGAAGGGCCCGGGUUUAUCUCUGGAAGACUUGUUACAUAAGCCGGUUGCUCGAGUGCAAAAGAACGCUUUAGUUUUACACGAUCUUCUCAAGCAUACGUCAGUCAACCAUGCAGAUCAUGCGCCUUUAUCAGAAGCUCUUGCUAUGACCAGGAACUUUCUAGACGAGUUCAAUAUCAUUCAGACAAAGUCCAUGUUUCCGAGUCACGACAGAGCCCAACGAAGAUUAGUAAAGAAUUCGUUUGUAGUGGAGCUCUCGGACGGUCACAGAAAGCUGAGACAUCUUUUUCUUUUUAACGACGUGAUCGCCUGUGCGAAGUACAAAGCGUCCGGCAGAGAUAAGUUCACGUUCGAAUUGAAGUGGUACGUGCCGGUGGCGGAAGUUGCUGUUACGGAAGACGGCAUAGAGCCACGUGAAGCCAGCCCCGCAAAUGUGGUAGCUUUAAGGUCGCAAGCGUGUACGGUGCGCGAUCAAAUUCUUUGGGAAGAACGAAACGACGAGAAACGAAUCCGACUGGGCGGCAGAGGUUCGGAGAAAAAUCGCAAGAAGCUCGCUGAACUUGAGGCUCAGCUGGUGUUAGCCUCGCCGAACUUGGUCCUGCGCGUCGCGCAUAAAAGUCAGCAGAAUCGAAUACAAAAUUCUUACACCUUCUUCCUGUCCAGCGAGUUUGAGCGCUCCCAAUGGGUAGAGGCGGUGGAGGCGUUACAACAGGGCGGACAGCCUCCAGGGCAGCUGCCAUUGUCGAUGUACGAAUUACAAGCUUGGGUUACCGCCUGUCGAACAUAUCUGCAGACCGAUAUGGGCAGCUAUCUGCUGAGAUCAGGACGCGACGAGAGCUUGCUAUUGGGUGAUCUUCAUCUGACGCUGCUCGGUUUGACUCCGCCAGGCUUAGACAGAGUGGGUGAUCUCUAUAUUAUCGUGGAAGUCGACAGCUACGGACACUAUUUCAAGAGAGCGCGAAGUCGCAUCGCCAGAGGUCAAGCACCGAUUUGGGGCGAGACUUUCGUGGUAGAGUUAGAGGGUAGCCAGAACGUUAGAAUUCUGUUGUACGAGGAAUGCGGCACACGCUCGGUAUUGCGAGGCAAGUGUAUUCAGCGGUUGAGCAGAUCUUGGCUUCAGUCUGAUCAGGUGGAGAGGUCGCUGAACCUGGGACCUUCGACGUUGGACGUGGCGCUGCGUUUUGUUCCCAGCGAGGUCACUCUGAGGCGAGUGCCGUCGGCCAAGCCGCAGGGCCUGUUCGGCGCCAAGAUCCAGCAAGUUUGCAAACGAGAAAAACGCGACGUGCCUUUCAUAAUAACGGCAUGCGUGCGAGAGGUGGAGAGACGUGGCGUCGGCGAGGUAGGUCUGUACCGCGUUUCCGGCUCGGCGUCCGAUGUGGCGAGGCUACGCAAGUCGUUCGAAAGCAAUUCGUACGAAGCGGAGCAGCUACUUAAGGAGGUGGACGUGCACUCGGUGACGGGCGUGUUAAAGCUGUAUCUGCGUGAGAUGCCGGAGGCGCUGUUCACCGACGCCCUUUAUCCGGCAUUCCUGGAGGCCUUCCAAACGGGCGAUUUGUCACGGGGCACCGCCCUGCGCCGUGUUUACGAGGGCUUGCCCGCCGUCAACAAGGCGGUGAUCGACUUUCUGCUGGCGCACCUGGCCCGUGUGAACAAGCACGAGGCUCAGAACAAGAUGUCACUGCACAACUUGGCGACGGUGUUCGGUCCCACGUUGCUGCGACCCGGCACCAGUAACUCGCGCAGCGACGCCAAGAGCCGCGAUCCCCUCGCCGCCGGCACCGUCGACGUAAUGGCGCAAGCUGGCAUUCUCUACUGCUUCCUGCAGUUACAUUUGCAACAACAAAACAAUCAAUCUCUCUAGUCGACAAAGUCCCCCUGAUCCUGAACCGCGAUUAACGUUGCAACGUUCGAUUUGAGAUCGAUAGAUAAUCGGCAAUGGGAACGCGACCACACACACUUUCUUCCUGACGAAGCAAACGCCGAAAAGACGACGUAAUGGUGUCUGAAGAACAGUCGGAAUUCUCAUCUCGGAAGCAACUUAUCGCCCUGAAUAAUAUGGAUACCGUACUCUCGCAGAAACAUUCAGGAGAAAGAAAGAGAGAAUAUAUUUGUUCUUCCUUGGAGAUCCUGUGAAAUUCAUGGAACGACGUUCCUCAUAAUGUGUGCAAAAAUCUGUUAUACAUGUGUAAUAAUCGUCCAUUCCAUUUGCUCGAGUUCUCUACGAAGAAUCGAAUUCAACAGAUCGAAUCUUCGCAAAGAAGCUCAGAGUUUUGGUCCAAAAAGACAUAUGACUGCAAGAGAGAGGCCCUCCUUAUUCCGUCAAAGUGGUAUUUUUCGACAGUAAUUUUGAUUGAACGUGAGUUUUCUUUUUAUUAUCGUCUAACUGCAGCUUAAUGAGACGCCAAAGAGAAAGGUACGUUCCCACGUGUGUAGAGUGUUACGGAAAUGGUGGUUUAUAAGAAAAAAUGCAAUUUUUUACGAAAAAAAAAUACAAAAUAAAUUUUUUUCUUGUACGAGAGACUAUAGUUUUCUCGAGAAAACCUAUAUUUAAAUCAAAUUUUCAGUCAACUUUUUUCUUUUUUCGAGUUUUAAAAUUAAUUUUCUUGAGAAAAAAGUUUGCGAGAAAGGGAUUUAUACAUCGUGAAGCCCUUUUUUUUUAACAAAAUACUGCCAAUUUAUUAGAUCAAUCCAUCAAGACUUUCGGAACGCUCUAUGCGCAGUAGGAAAGAAUAUACUGUAGUUGAUAAUGAGAGACAAAACACAAACACGCGAGUUUGGCGAUACAAGUUAACGGGGCACAGAGUGUCUUGCGUAUUAUAUGCCAAGCCGUCUAGUUUGCAAAUUAUAUAAAAAAAGAAAACGAACAAAAAAAAAGAAAGAAAACGAGCCAAGUCUGACGAGAGUGUUCGAUAAAAACGAAGAUAUAUAAGAAGUAUUAAAUUGUUUAUGCUCGAACAAAGUAGGCAACUAUUAUAUCUCGUGCGUAUGAAGGCAACCGCGUGCGUGUUUGUGCUUGUUUGUAUGCGUGUAUAAUCCCCCUUCCGCCCUUCUGCCCCGUGUAUGUAUUAUACCGUAAAAAGAAAUACCGCAUAUACUAAGAUUUUUGAUAUCGUCGUUUUUUAAGGAACGUCCGCCUUUUUUUUUUGUACAUUGAUACGAAAUGUAAAAACGAGUUUCCUCGAUUAUUAUUUGUGUUAUUAUUAAUAUUAUUAAUAUUAUUAUUACUCCAUAUUAUAUAUAGAUAUAUAUAUAUAUGUAUAUGACAAUUAUCGCAACUAUUUGUUGAUUUGAUCAAGCUAGCUUGUUCGCAGCGAAAUGCGUACUGUACUGCCAAAAAGUGAAGAAACACACUUAAAGUGGACAAAUAUACUGAAGGUUUAUAAACUUUUA